rnacentral:rRNA from 1 species
UACGGGGGGGGCAAGCGUUGUUCGGAAUUACUGGGCGUAAAGGGCGCGUAGGCGGUUUCGGAAGUCAUGGGUGAAAGCCCCGGGCUCAACUCGGGAAUGGCCUGUGAAACCACGGGACUGGAGUGCUGGAGAGGGAAGUGGAAUUCCCAGUGUAGCGGUGAAAUGCGUAGAUAUUGGGAGGAACACCGGAGGCGAAGGCGGCUUCCUGGACAGACACUGACGCUGAGGCGCGAAAGCCAGGGGAGCAAACGGGAUUAGAUACCCCCGUAGUCC